GACGAACGCUGGCGGCGUGCUUAACACAUGCAAGUCGAACGAUGAAGCCGGAGCUUGCUCCGGUGGAUUAGUGGCGAACGGGUGAGUAACACGUGAGCAAUCUGCCCUUGACUCUGGGAUAACUUCGGGAAACUGUAGCUAAUACCGGAUACGACACCUUGGGGCAUCCCCGCGUGUGGACAGAAUUUCGGUCAAGGAUGAGCUCGCGGCCUAUCAGCUAGUUGGUGAGGUAAUGGCUCACCAAGGCGACGACGGGGAGACGGACUGAGAGGGGGACCGGCCACAAUGGAAAUGAGACACGGGCAAGACUCAUACGGGAGGAAGAAGUGGGGAAUAUUGCAAAAGGGGCGAAAGACUGAUGCAGCAACGACGCGGGAGGGAGGAAGGCGUUCGGGUUGUAAACCUCUUUUAGCAGGGAAGAAGAGAAAGUGAAGGUAACGGAAGAAAAAGCACCGGAUAACUACGUGCCAGCAGCCGCGGUAA
rnacentral:rRNA from 1 species